rnacentral:sRNA from 1 species
CCCUAGCCCAGAUUGCAGCGAAAAGCCCGGAGUAAAAAAAGCAAAGUUUCUUGUUUUAAAAAAGCGACCAACGGAAGCUCUUUUUAAAACAUUAGAAACUUUGCUUUUUUUAUGUCCCGAUAGCUAUCGGGAUGUAGCGGAAAGCUGGAAUAGCU